GUAAUGAUCUACUUGUGCUUGUCAUCCAGAAUGUGUGCUAAACAAACCUUGCACAUGUGUAGCUUACAUGGAGAUUCUGGGAGAAGUUUUCCUUUGAGGUUCGCUAGCAAGCAGAGGAGGUGACAGUCAUUAAGAUUGGUGGCACGUUGCAAAGCUCACCUUUAUCAAAUGUUCUUCUGGUUGCAAAAAAGCUUCCAAAAUUAUGCUGUCAAGUGCACGAUAUGCAGAAAGACUCUUUACUAACUCUCACUAACUUAGGAGCCUUUGCUGGCUUCAUAUGGGUGAUGGACAAAGAGCUUUUGAUGAUGCAGCUAAAUGCAAAAGGCUGCGUCCAAAGUGGGAAGAGGUGAACUAUCGGCAAGGAACAGCUCUAAUGUUCAUAAAGGAGUAUGAUGCUGCGCAUUCCGCACUCUCGCGCGCUUUAGAGUUGGACCCGGAAAGUGAAGAGACCGACAAAUUAUUCUGGGAGGCGAUGGAACUGAAGUGAACUUGCCCUGCAUGCUGACUGCAGAGAGAAGCUCACACACAGAAUCUCAAGCUCUCUGUUUUUGCGUCCUUACAAGAAAACCCGCAUGAAUUCACUCAUGGGCCGUAGCAGCAGCUUAGAGCAAACCAGGUUACUGGCUACUUAUUUUAAGUUGGUUUUGCGGAACUUAA